GCAAUCGUGGCCGAGUGGUUAAGGCGAUGAACUAGAAAUCCAUUGGGGUCUCCCCGCACAGGUUCGAAUCCUGUCGACUGCG
rnacentral:tRNA from 1 species